rnacentral:rRNA from 1 species
GUGGAUGCCUUGGCACUAGAAGCCGAUGAAGGACGUUACUAACGACGAUAUGCUUUGGGGAGCUGUAAGUAAGCUUUGAUCCAGAGAUUUCCGAAUGGGGAAACCCAGCAUGAGUUAUGUCAUGUUAUCGAUAUGUGAAUACAUAGCAUAUCAGAAGGCACACCCGGAGAACUGAAACAUCUUAGUACCCGGAGGAAGAGAAAGAAAAUUCGAUUCCCUUAGUAGCGGCGAGCGAAACGGGAAGAGCCCAAACCAACAAGCUUGCUUGUUGGGGUUGUAGGACACUCUAUACGGAGUUACAAAGGACGACAUUAGACGAAUCAUCUGGAAAGAUGAAUCAAAGAAGGUAAUAAUCCUGUAGUCGAAAAUGUUGUCUCUCUUGAGUGGAUCCUGAGUACGACGGAGCACGUGAAAUUCCGUCGGAAUCUGGGAGGACCAUCUCCUAAGGCUAAAUACUCUCUAGUGACCGAUAGUGAACCAGUACCGUGAGGGAAAGGUGAAAAGCACCCCGGAAGGGGAGUGAAAUAGAACCUGAAACCGUGUGCUUACAAGUAGUCAGAGCCCGUUAAUGGGUGAUGGCGUGCCUUUUGUAGAAUGAACCGGCGAGUUACGAUUUGAUGCAAGGUUAAGCAGUAAAUGUGGAGCCGUAGCGAAAGCGAGUCUGAAUAGGGCGUUUAGUAUUUGGUCGUAGACCCGAAACCAGGUGAUCUACCCUUGGUCAGGUUGAAGUUCAGGUAACACUGAAUGGAGGACCGAACCGACUUACGUUGAAAAGUGAGCGGAUGAACUGAGGGUAGCGGAGAAAUUCCAAUCGAACCUGGAGAUAGCUGGUUCUCUCCGAAAUAGCUUUAGGGCUAGCCUCAAGUGAUGAUUAUUGGAGGUAGAGCACUGUUUGGACGAGGGGCCCCUCUCGGGUUACCGAAUUCAGACAAACUCCGAAUGCCAAUUAAUUUAACUUGGGAGUCAGAACAUGGGUGAUAAGGUCCGUGUUCGAAAGGGAAACAGCCCAGACCACCAGCUAAGGUCCCAAAAUAUAUGUUAAGUGGAAAAGGAUGUGGCGUUGCCCAGACAACUAGGAUGUUGGCUUAGAAGCAGCCAUCAUUUAAAGAGUGCGUAAUAGCUCACUAGUCGAGUGACACUGCGCCGAAAAUGUACCGGGGCUAAACAUAUUACCGAAGCUGUGGAUUGUCCUUUGGACAAUGGUAGGAGAGCGUUCUAAGGGCGUUGAAGCAUGAUCGUAAGGACAUGUGGAGCGCUUAGAAGUGAGAAUGCCGGUGUGAGUAGCGAAAGACGGGUGAGAAUCCCGUCCACCGAUUGACUAAGGUUUCCAGAGGAAGGCUCGUCCGCUCUGGGUUAGUCGGGUCCUAAGCUGAGGCCGACAGGCGUAGGCGAUGGAUAACAGGUUGAUAUUCCUGUACCACCUAUAAUCGUUUUAAUCGAUGGGGGGACGCAGUAGGAUAGGCGAAGCGUGCGAUUGGAUUGCACGUCUAAGCAGUAAGGCUGAGUAUUAGGCAAAUCCGGUACUCAUUAAGGCUGAGCUGUGAUGGGGAGAAGACAUUGUGUCUUCGAGUCGUUGAUUUCACACUGCCGAGAAAAGCCUCUAGAUAGAAAAUAGGUGCCCGUACCGCAAACCGACACAGGUAGUCAAGAUGAGAAUUCUAAGGUGAGCGAGCGAACUCUCGUUAAGGAACUCGGCAAAAUGACCCCGUAACUUCGGGAGAAGGGGUGCUCUUUAGGGUUAACGCCCAGAAGAGCCGCAGUGAAUAGGCCCAAGCGACUGUUUAUCAAAAACACAGGUCUCUGCUAAACCGUAAGGUGAUGUAUAGGGGCUGACGCCUGCCCGGUGCUGGAAGGUUAAGAGGAGUGGUUAGCUUCUGCGAAGCUACGAAUCGAAGCCCCAGUAAACGGCGGCCGUAACUAUAACGGUCCUAAGGUAGCGAAAUUCCUUGUCGGGUAAGUUCCGACCCGCACGAAAGGCGUAACGAUUUGGGCACUGUCUCAACGAGAGACUCGGUGAAAUCAUAGUACCUGUGAAGAUGCAGGUUACCCGCGACAGGACGGAAAGACCCCGUGGAGCUUUACUGUAGCCUGAUAUUGAAAUUCGGCACAGCUUGUACAGGAUAGGUAGGAGCCUUUGAAACGUGAGCGCUAGCUUACGUGGAGGCGCUGGUGGGAUACUACCCUAGCUGUGUUGGCUUUCUAACCCGCACCACUUAUCGUGGUGGGAGACAGUGUCAGGCGGGCAGUUUGACUGGGGCGGUCGCCUCCUAAAAGGUAACGGAGGCGCUCAAAGGUUCCCUCAGAAUGGUUGGAAAUCAUUCAUAGAGUGUAAAGGCAUAAGGGAGCUUGACUGCGAGACCUACAAGUCGAGCAGGGUCGAAAGACGGACUUAGUGAUCCGGUGGUUCCGCAUGGAAGGGCCAUCGCUCAACGGAUAAAAGCUACCCCGGGGAUAACAGGCUUAUCUCCCCCAAGAGUUCACAUCGACGGGGAGGUUUGGCACCUCGAUGUCGGCUCAUCGCAUCCUGGGGCUGUAGUCGGUC